GACGAACGCUGGCGGCGUGCUUAACACAUGCAAGUCGAGCGGUAAGGCCCUUUCGGGGGUACACGAGCGGCGAACGGGUGAGUAACACGUGGGUGACCUGCCUUUAGCUCUGGGAUAAGCCUGGGAAACUGGGUCUAAUACCGGAUAUGACUCCAUGACGCAUGUUGUGGGGUGGAAAGCCUUGUGCGGCUAGGGAUGGGCCCGCGGCCUAUCAGCUUGUUGGUGGGGUGAUGGCCUACCAAGGCGACGACGGGUAGCCGGCCUGAGAGGGCGACCGGCCACACUGGGACUGAGACACGGCCCAGACUCCUACGGGAGGCAGCAGUGGGGAAUCUUGCGCAAUGGGCGAAAGCCUGACGCAGCGACGCCGCGUGAGGGAUGACGGCCU
rnacentral:rRNA from 1 species